AAGUCGUAACAAGGUUUCCGUAGGUGAACCUGCGGAAGGAUCAUUAUCAAUGAUAUCCAUCAUACACCGUGAACUUUUAAUUUUUUGGGGAUGAUCUUUUAUUAGAUCUUCCCCCAUUAUUAUUAGAUCUCUAGGUUCUC
rnacentral:misc_RNA from 1 species